rnacentral:lncRNA from 1 species
ACUUGUCGGGAAGAUUAUGUACAAUAAAAAGGACAUCUGCAAUGAACUGUAGUGAGGCUCCUACCUACAUUGUAUAGCUUCCAUUCACUGGUAACAUUCCUCAGAGGUGCUGGAGGCAUUAGGAUAACAUCUGAAAGCAAGAGAAAAACAAACCAACUAACCGUCUAACCAUGAAAAGAGCACAGAGUCUUCUGGAAUGAGACACACCCACAAGAUAGAUGGAAGGGAUUUCAGAUCUACUUGGAGUAUGAUAAAAACACAAUA